GGACCCUUCGGGGUUAGUGGCGGACGGGUGAGUAACACGUGGGAACGUGCCUUUAGGUUCGGAAUAGCUCCUGGAAACGGGUGGUAAUGCCGAAUGUGCCCUUCGGGGGAAAGAUUUAUCGCCUUUAGAGCGGCCCGCGUCUGAUUAGCUAGUUGGUGAGGUAAUGGCUCACCAAGGCGACGAUCAGUAGCUGGUCUGAGAGGAUGACCAGCCACAUUGGGACUGAGACACGGCCCAAACUCCUACGGGAGGCAGCAGUGGGGAAUCUUGCGCAAUGGGCGAAAGCCUGACGCAGCCAUGCCGCGUGAAUGAUGAAGGUCUUAGGAUUGUAAAAUUCUUUCACCGGGGACGAUAAUGACGGUACCCGGAGAAGAAGCCCCGGCUAACUUCGUGCCAGCAGCCGCGGUAAUACGAAGGGGGCUAGCGUUGCUCGGAAUUACUGGGCGUAAAGGGCGCGUAGGCGGAUCGUUAAGUCAGAGGUGAAAUCCCGGAGCUCAACUUCGGAACUGCCUUUGAUACUGGCGAUCUUGAGUGUGAGAGAGGUAUGUGGAACUCCGAGUGUAGAGGUGAAAUUCGUAGAUAUUCGGAAGAACACCAGUGGCGAAGGCGACAUACUGGCUCAUUACUGACGC
rnacentral:rRNA from 1 species